CAUCAGGUUAGGAGGGUUUUCUUCUUCUCUCUCUACGUUUCUUCUCUCUCUAAAAGGAGAAUUAAGGGUUUAAGCUUAUUCCUUUUCUCUUCUUAAUGUUUGCUGUCUUGGGGACUUAGAGCAGCUGUGGGGAAGAGAAAGAGGAGUCUUGGGAGGGUAUUUUGGCAACCCUAACUCUGCAGGGAGGUGAUCUACAGCUGAUUAAGCAAGUGUGCGAGCUAUUCUCGGCUAUAUAUGGAGGCUUGGGAGAGCUGAUUGUGAAUGCUUCAACCUGCGAGAAGUGGAAGUUAAGCUCAGUUUGGGAAGGGUAUCGUCGCAGCAGGCUUUUUAAACCAAAUUGAGCUAAAUUUGUGAUAUAAGGAACUUGGUUGCAGGGCAUUCCAACCAAAGUGUUUGUUCGCAGCGGAGUUACGAUCGACCCUUUGAUCGUCUUCGGUUGACUUGUGAGAGCUCUUGGAGACUCAUCUUAAGCAGAGUUGAGACCGUGUGGAGCUGAUUUUGGGACCCCCUUUGGAUUGAUUGGAGCCUAGUGAUAGAGCCAUCUACAGGAGAGGUUAGGGAUCGUGGCAAGGGAG